ACGUCCCAGGCUUAUGAUGCCGUUUUACACUUUGUUAAAGUAAAUUUACUGGCCGAGUUUAGGCCUAGUGUAAUUUUAACAGACUUUGAAGCUGCGUUAAGGGAAAUGUUGAUAAGGCAUUUUCCAUCAGCCACAGCUCAUGGAUGCUGGUUUAGCACAGUAAUCAAGCUGUGUGGUGAAAAAUGCGAAUAUUAGGUUAUUUAAAUCUUAUAAAUACCAAUGGAUUUGCAUCAAAAACUUUAAAGAUGAUUAUGGUUCUUCCAUUAUUACCAGCUGGGAAAAUUGAAGAAGGCUUUGUUGUGAUUAAGCGUUAUGCACCUAGACAUAAUAUUAACAUGCGAUGACUAUUCAACUAUUAUGAAAGAUACUGGAUACGAAAUGUAGGCGUUGAGUUACUUUCGGUCUACAAAAAAAAAUUUAGAACAAACAACAAUAUUGAAGGGUUUCACAGUAAACUAAGGCAAAUAUUUCAAGUUUCCCACCCAAAUAUUUGGUCAUUCUUAGCUCAUAUAUGCAAAAUAAAUGAUACAUAUUCAGUUAAGCCGUUUGACGAAAAUGAAGACUAUGUUAUUCCUGAAGACAAUGAUCCUCUGGAAUUGGAAUACAGAGAUAUGAUAUAGCAAGAAAGAAUUGAGCAACUUAAUAAUUUACCAUUUGCACCUGUUCCAGCCAUACUACCAAUAUUAUAUCUGAACUCACCAAAUGUAUGUGCUAUAUGCAAAUCAAAUAGAAGUACAUACGCACUAGUUCCAUGUGGUCAUCGAGCCCUAUGUGAGGAAUGUCAAUGGUUAUUGGAGCAACAACGCUGUCCUAUAUGCACACAACCAUUUGAUACCACAUUAAGAAUUUGGGAUGCAUAAAUUUAAUUUAAAAAUCUGAAACUAUAAAUACAAUUAUUACACCCAUUUAAGUAUUAUAAAAUAUAUAUUGCCAGUUAUAAUAAAUUACUAUGUUAUAAGUGAUUUUUUAUACUUGCUCUAUGUUUAUAUAAAUAGUGUAAUAAAAUUAGUCAUAUUAUUUUGUUGGUUUGUACAAAAUUCGUAGGUAGAUACACAGUCCAUAUACAUGAUGUAUACCCUUUUUUUUUCUUAGGUUUUAACCAACGAUGCCGCGGAAAUUGCUUUCGCAUUAUUGCCGCGGCGCUAAUAUAUAAUUUAUACCUAUUAUAUACA